rnacentral:rRNA from 1 species
AAAUUCCAAUCGAACCUGGAGAUAGCUGGUUCUCUCCGAAAUAGCUUUAGGGCUAGCCUCAAGUGAUGAUUAUUGGAGGUAGAGCACUGUUUGGACGAGGGGCCCCUCUCGGGUUACCGAAUUCAGACAAACUCCGAAUGCCAAUUAAUUUAACUUGGGAGUCAGAACAUGGGUGAUAAGGUCCGUGUUCGAAAGGGAAACAGCCCAGACCACCAGCUAAGGUCCCAAAAUAUAUGUUAAGUGGAAAAGGAUGUGGCGUUGCCCAGACAACUAGGAUGUUGGCUUAGAAGCAGCCAUCAUUUAAAGAGUGCGUAAUAGCUCACUAGUCGAGUGACACUGCGCCGAAAAUGUACCGGGGCUAAACAUAUUACCGAAGCUGUGGAUUGUCCUUUGGACAAUGGUAGGAGAGCGUUCUAAGGGCGUUGAAGCAUGAUCGUAAGGACAUGUGGAGCGCUUAGAAGUGAGAAUGCCGGUGUGAGUAGCGAAAGACGGGUGAGAAUCCCGUCCACCGAUUGACUAAGGUUUCCAGAGGAAGGCUCGUCCGCUCUGGGUUAGUCGGGUCCUAAGCUGAGGCCGACAGGCGUAGGCGAUGGAUAACAGGUUGAUAUUCCUGUACCACCUAUAAUCGUUUUAAUCGAUGGGGGGACGCAGUAGGAUAGGCGAAGCGUGCGAUUGGAUUGCACGUCUAAGCAGUAAGGCUGAGUAUUAGGCAAAUCCGGUACUCGUUAAGGCUGAGCUGUGAUGGGGAGAAGACAUUGUGUCUUCGAGUCGUUGAUUUCACACUGCCGAGAAAAGUCUCUAGAUAGAAAAUAGGUGCCCGUACCGCAAACCGACACAGGUAGUCAAGAUGAGAAUUCUAAGGUGAGCGAGCGAACUCUCGUUAAGGAACUCGGCAAAAUGACCCCGUAACUUCGGGAGAAGGGGUGCUCUUUAGGGUUAACGCCCAGAAGAGCCGCAGUGAAUAGGCCCAAGCGACUGUUUAUCAAAAACACAGGUCUCUGCUAAACCGUAAGGUGAUGUAUAGGGGCUGACGCCUGCCCGGUGCUGGAAGGUUAAGAGGAGUGGUUAGCUUCUGCGAAGCUACGAAUCGAAGCCCCAGUAAACGGCGGCCGUAACUAUAACGGUCCUAAGGUAGCGAAAUUCCUUGUCGGGUAAGUUCCGACCCGCACGAAAGGCGUAACGAUUUGGGCACUGUCUCAACGAGAGACUCGGUGAAAUCAUAGUACCUGUGAAGAUGCAGGUUACCCGCGACAGGACGGAAAGACCCCGUGGAGCUUUACUGUAGCCUGAUAUUGAAAUUCGGCACAGCUUGUACAGGAUAGGUAGGAGCCUUUGAAACGUGAGCGCUAGCUUACGUGGAGGCGCUGGUGGGAUACUACCCUAGCUGUGUUGGCUUUCUAACCCGCACCACUUAUCGUGGUGGGAGACAGUGUCAGGCGGGCAGUUUGACUGGGGCGGUCGCCUCCUAAAAGGUAACGGAGGCGCUCAAAGGUUCCCUCAGAAUGGUUGGAAAUCAUUCAUAGAGUGUAAAGGCAUAAGGGAGCUUGACUGCGAGACCUACAAGUCGAGCAGGGUCGAAAGACGGACUUAGUGAUCCGGUGGUUCCGCAUGGAAGGGCCAUCGCUCAACGGAUAAAAGCUACCCCGGGGAUAACAGGCUUAUCUCCCCCAAGAGUUCACAUCGACGGGGAGGUUUGGCACCUCGAUGUCGGCUCAUCGCAUCCUGGGGCUGUAGUCGGUCCCAAGGGUUGGGCUGUUCGCCCAUUAAAGCGGUACGCGAGCUGGGUUCAGAACGUCGUGAGACAGUUCGGUCCCUAUCCGUCGUGGGCGUAGGAAAUUUGAGAGGAGCUGUCCUUAGUACGAGAGGACCGGGAUGGACAUACCUCUGGUGUACCAGUUGUCGUGCCAACGGCAUAGCUGGGUAGCUAUGUGUGGACGGGAUAAGUGCUGAAAGCAUCUAAGCAUGAAGCCCCCCUCAAGAUGAGAUUUCCCAACUUCGGUUAUAAGAUCCCUCAAAGAUGAUGAGGUUAAUAGGUUCGAGGUGGAAGUAUGGUGACAUGUGGAGCUGACGAAUACUAAUCGAUCGAAGACUUAAUCAA